AGAUUGAACGCUGGCGGCAUGCCUUACACAUGCAAGUCGAACGGUAGAGUAGCAAUACUCGAGAGUGGCGAACGGGUGAGUAAUAUAUCGGAACGUGCCCUGGAGUGGGGGAGUAACGCAGCGAAAGUUGCGCUAAUACCGCAUACGAUCUACGGAUGAAAGUGGGGGAUUCGCAAGAACCUCAUGGC
rnacentral:rRNA from 1 species